rnacentral:rRNA from 1 species
AUUGAACGCUAGCGGGAUGCUUUACACAUGCAAGUCGAACGAGUGGCGGACGGGUUAGUAAUCUAUCGGAACCUGCCUAGUAGCGGGGGUUAAAUACCCGAAAGUGUGGCUAAUACCGCAUACCAUUGGAUCGGCCGAUAUGGGAUUCGCCAGGUGGUGGGGUAAAGGCUCACCAAGGCGACGAUACGUAGCUGGUUUGAGAGGACGACCAGCCACACUGAGACUGAGACACGGCCCAGACUGCUACGGGAGGCAGCAGUAGUGAAUUGUGGGCAAUGGGGGAAGCCCUGAUCCAACCAGCCCGCGUGUAUGAGAAGGCCUUCGGGUUGUAAAAUACUUUUGGCAGGGAAGCGGUAUCUGCAGAAGAAGCACCGGCUAACUACGUGCCAGCAGCCGCGGUAAUUC